UCAAAAGUAUAUUGGCUGGUCUAAUAUCAUUUAUGGAUGGUAUAUUACACAGAAAUUUCCCGGAAUAUGCAAGAUUUCAAAAACGGUUAUUUAUGAACAGUUAUCAGUAACAGGUAUUGAUGUGCUCUAUUUCCUUGUUUUUAUUUCACAGUCCUGGUUAAUCUUUAUUCAAAAACUUCUUAUCAAUGUUUCUCACAGUGCAACUGAUAAUAAAAACAACACAUGUUGGUAUUAUAUAGACUUUCGAUUUAAAAGAAUGGUCUUCCUUAUUUUGUGUUAUGGGAAAGUUUGGCCUAAGGGAGGGGUUAUCCAAUCUAAAUGAGACCUAUAAACCCAAGGCUGGUGUUAUUAUUAAGAGCAAAGUCCAUGAAUCAAUACCAGCCUCUAUGGCGAUCAUAACGGCUCUAAGUUUAAAUUCUGGUCAGAAUAUACCAAACUUGUCUGACCUCCUGUACUAAUACCAGAAAAAAAGACAUUUACCUGAAGUUAGCUAACAUGAGCUACUCCAGAUAUCUAUCAUAACAUCAUUACUUCUUAGAGAUGACAAUUGCUGUACGUGGAGAAUAUAUUUUUUGUUUGCUUUGAUUUUUGUUGAUGUUGAUGUAAACAAACAAAAAAAUCUAGUCUUAUGAAGAGCGAAACUUUGUCAAAUCCCUGAUUAUGAACUACGACCAUACAGAGAGUGACCUGGAUUGGACUCAGUGACAUCCACAAAGAAGGCAAAUGGAUGUGGUCUGAGGGCUGCCAGCCAAUUCUUCUUUCAGGCAGCAGGAGAGCCAAACUCACCUGUUACUCCGUUUUUAACGUGUCAGCUCAAACGCACGUGUACACACGUGUUAAUAGUAAGGUGUACACUUUCAUUUGUGAGUAGAGAAGUCACUUUAAUGAUGAAUGUGGGACAUUCACACAGCGAGUUCUAGUGGCACUUCUACAUGUGAAUAUUUCCAAAGCAUUUUAAAUGUCUAAGAGUGUAUUAUUCAUAAUAAAAAGGAUUAUAAUAUUCCAGUCAGUGUACAAAAUAAACUUUUACUAUGAAUUCAAAUGAAGCCAUACACGGUACAUAUAAAGACUAUGUAUGUUCAUUUUAAAAAUGUAUGUCUGCUACAGCCGUCAAUCAUUCAUUCUGUAUAAUGUGUGUCUGUUUGUGUUGAAUUUUGAAUCAGAAAUGUGGUGAUUGGACAGUUCUGUGUUUUUUUUCCUUGUUUGGUGCUUGUGUUUUUGUUCUUUCAGAGGCUGGGUGUGGCUUAUCGGCUGCUGGAGCUCUCUGCAAUCACUCACCUGUUCAUCAUCUGUAAUCACCGGCUGCAGCAUUUAUACCCUGGUUCAACUCUCCCAAACUGCCAGAUUAUUUCCGCCUACUCAGAGUGCCUUCAACUACCGAGCAGCAGCGCCUCACCACCCAGCCUCUCAUUCAAGCCUCAUGUCAAUAAAUACCCCUUUACCCACCACCCUGUUUUCCAGUUUUGCUUUUGGGUCCACUAACAAACAUUUAAGGCCAUAACACAGAAAUAAACUGCUUUUGGACAGUCAUGCCAUUCGCAAGGAUUAUAAAAAUACCUACAGACUGAAGUUACUGUACAGUAAUGUGUCCUGCUGAAGUGAUAUAUAAAGUCUUCAUGAUGAAGAUAUGUGCAUGUGUGUACAUAGUUAUUUGAUUGACCUUUGUUUGUAAAUAUCAAAGGAAAGUA